GCCUUAACCCCUGCAGGGCCGCCUCGGGGGCCUGAGCGGCGACUGCCCUCUGCCCUUCCUCUAAUGUCGCCAGAAUGUCUCUCCGUGGCCCUUCCCUCCACCUCCGGCCUUGGACGUUACGUCUUUCAAACACCCUCAAGGCGCCCCUCGGAAGCCCCCAGCCCCACGCAUUCCCAGCAGAAGCAAUAAUCGGGGGACUUUUGCACCCGGGGGCACGCCCCUGCCAACACACACACACACACACACACACACCCUGGGGCAUUUCUUCGCACAGUUGCAGGAUGGAUUGUGUUUGCUUCCUCUUCCAGAAAGUCGCCGCGUCCGUCCGACCCCCACUCCACCCUUUCUCUGCUUGGGCGAACACCUGGUGCCCAGAGCCUCCAGGGAGAAGGGGUGGUGUGGUCUGAGUCUGGCUGGACGGAAAGGGGUUGGCCUGGAGACCGGCUGGAGACUACAAGAUCUCCUCCAGGAACCCUGGAGCCGCCCACCCGCCACCGUGUCCAAAGCCCCUCACUGCCUCUGCCGGACCCUCUACCCUCACCAGCAUUUACUCCAGACUCCCAGAAUUGUAACCCAGCUGUGGGGGGUGCCAGUGCCCUUAAGAGCUCAGCAUUUGUGGCUCUCACCCCCGGAGCUGCUCCAACCGGGACUCCAUGAUGUGCGUCUCAGGGGAAAGGGGCUGCUGCAUGGAGAGAGACCCCAGAAUGUGGGUGCUGGAAUCACUCCGGAGGCGCCGGAGCAGGGGUUGAACCAGGGAGGAGUCCUGCCAAGAAGAAGUCACUUGAUGGACCUGGUGAGCUUCAAGAGCCCAGGAUCAAGAUUUUUCCAACCCCAGAAGCAACUGGAUUCCAUGACCAGGAAUUAAGAUCAUCCUCCUAAAUGCUAAGUCUAUCAGGACCAGGGGAGAUAGUGUGUGUGGUUCUGGGGACAGAGCCCAGGGCCUCCCACAUGCCAACCCGCACCCUACCACUGAGCCACACCUCCAGGCCCAUGGAGCCCAUUUCCCAAGUUGAGCUCCCUGGCCCUGUCUUCCUACCACUUGGAGAGGAGGGCUUUUCUCCACCAUCUUGCUCAGCCACAAGGCUUUAAAUGUCACCUACAUGCUAAAGAUGCCCAAAUAUCCCCGUGAGCUCUGAAACA